rnacentral:misc_RNA from 1 species
CAUUGAGCUUCCUCACCUUCCAUAACAAGUACUCUUCCGGGUGGACAUUCAAUGUGUCUCUUUUCUUUAGCUGUUGGCUGCUGAAACAAGCCCACAAACUUAAAAGGUAUACUUCUUUUCCCAAGACUAGGUCCAACACCAGACAGGCUUAACACUGAUAUCACACCAACAAAAGUAAUCACUGUCUUAGCUGCUGCACCAACGAAAUGUCUCAACCCCCUGCUUGAAUUUUCGGACACAGUCUCUGCCUUAUUUCUCUCCAACUCAUUCAGAUUAUUCUUUGCUUCACCAGUGAUUACCCCAUUCCGCAUAGACUUGCGUGUCGAAGGAAAGUGUGGCAGAUAGUGAUUGUCAACAACAAGGGACUGUGGAGGAUGGCUUGGAUAAGGUGGAAGUAAAAGGUCAUUGUUAUGCUCCACUGUUUCACCAGCAAAAGCAGAAGCUUCCUGUAUUACUUCCAACUCUUCCCCUUCGUACUCCUUUAGCUUAUCCAA